rnacentral:rRNA from 1 species
GAUGAACGCUGGCGGCGUGCCUAACACAUGCAAGUCGAGCGGCAGCGCGGGGUGCUUGCACCCUGUCGGCGAGCGGCGGACGGCUGAGUAACGCGUGGGAACGUGCCCCAAAGUGAGGAAUAACUGCCCGAAAGGGUAGCUAAUACCGCAUAUUAUCUUCGGAUCAAAGGAUUUAUCCGCUUUGGGAGCGGCUCGCGUCGGGUUAGGUAGUUGGUGAGGUAAUGGCUCACCAAGGCGACGAUCCGUAGCUGGGCGGAGAGGAUGACCAGCCAGACUGGAACUGAGACACGGUCCAGACUGCUACGGGAGGGAGCAGUGAGGAGUCUUCCACAAGGGGCGAAAGCCUGAUGGAGCAACGCCGCGUGCAGGACGAAGGCCUUCGGGUUGUAAACUGCUUUUAUAAGUGAGGAAUAUGACGGUAACUGAUGAAUAAGGAUCGGCUAACUACGUG